AGGAAGGAGAGACGGACGAAGGUCUUUUUACAGCGGGUCAGGUUCGGAAGAAAGCAGCCCAUAAUCAGAUCAUGCGGGUCGUUCUUCUCCUUCCGCUC
rnacentral:SRP_RNA from 1 species